rnacentral:rRNA from 1 species
AUGUGUCUUGACCAAAUUACGUGCCAGCAGUCGCGGUAAUACGUAGAAGACUAGUGUUAUUCAUGUUUAAUCGGUUUAAAGGGUACCUAGACGGUAGAUCAAGCUUUUUCAUAUAAAUUAUGAUAAUUAAAGGACUAAUUUACUAGAGUUACUUACGAGGGGGUAUUAAAGUACUGCUGGUGUAGAGAUGAAAUUCUGUCAUACCUCUUUUCCAAAAGAAAAAUCAUGGCACAGGUAUAGGCGAAGGCAUCCCCUUAUGUGAUAACUGACGUUGAGGGACGAAGGCUUUAUGUAACAAACAGGAUUAGAUACCCUAGUAGUUGAAGCAGAAAAUGAUGAAUGUCAUAGAUUAGAUAUAUAAGUUUAUUCUAUAAAUGAAAGUGCAAGCAUUCCACCUCAAGAGUAAUUUGGCAACAUUGGAACUGAAAUCAUUAGACCGUUUCUGAAACCAGUAGUGAAGUAUGUUGUUUAAUUUGAUGAUCCGCAAAAAACCUUACCACAAUUUGAAUAUUUAUAUUUUUUUUAUUGUUUUCUUCUUAAUUUUCUUCUAAUAACAAAAAGAAGAGAGUUAAUAAAUAGGCAAUAAUAUAUAUUUACAAGCGUUGCACGGCUGUCUUCAGUUAAUGUCGCGAGACUUUGGUUAGUUCCAUUAAUUAACGUAAACCCUUACUUUAAUUUUAUAUAGAGUACUU